rnacentral:rRNA from 1 species
UGUCCCAGCCGCCGCGGUAAUACGGAGGGUGCAAGCGUUACUCGGAAUCACUGGGCGUAAAGAGCGUGUAGGCGGGUAUAUAAGUCAGAAGUGAAAUCCUAUAGCUUAACUAUAGAACUGCUUUUGAAACUGUAUACCUAGAAUGUGGGAGAGGUAGAUGGAAUUUCUGGUGUAGGGGUAAAAUCCGUAGAGAUCAGAAGGAAUACCGAUUGCGAAGGCGAUCUACUGGAACAUUAUUGACGCUGAGACGCGAAAGCGUGGGGAGCAAACAGGAUUAGAUACCCUGGUAGUCCACGCCCUAAACGAUGUACACUAGUUGUUGUGAGGCUCGACCUUGCAGUAAUGCAGUUAACACAUUAAGUGUACCGCCUGGGGAGUACGGUCGCAAGAUUAAAACUCAAAGGAAUAGACGGGGACCCGCACAAGCGGUGGAGCAUGUGGUUUAAUUCGACGAUACACGAAGAACCUUACCUGGACUUGACAUAGUAAGAACUUUCUAGAGAUAGAUUGGUGUCUGCUUGCAGAAACUUAUAUACAGGUGCUGCACGGCUGUC